CUGACGACGACUUUCCGAUGA
rnacentral:siRNA from 1 species